AAGGAUAUGUGCAAGAAUGGUUAUAGAACCUUUCUUUUUAAAAAAAAUUUUUUUAGAGAUCUCUAACUUCAUGCUAAGAGCAGUUUGGAGAGACUUUGACAGAACAGGUCAACAUAAUAUCUGCAACUUCCAUUCGACUUUCCUAUAAUA